GCAGAGAUGAUCCUCACUGGUGUGGGGUGCCGACUUCAAAUCGGUAGGGGCAGAGAUGCCCAGUCGUUCGAUUCGACCUUCACUGC
rnacentral:tRNA from 1 species